AGAUUUGUGGGCAGAGUGCAGAUGACUUCGCCUACAGUAUGUGCAAAUUAGGCUAUCGUGUUCAAAACCCAUAUUAAGAUUGCUUUUUAUAAAUCAUGUUUUGUUGUUGCAUUUGACUGCCAAAAAUGCUGUCAUUUCCUUAAUAUGUGAUGUCAUAGCUCAACAUGUGGGAGAAGUGCUCAGGGAUGAUACAAGUUUCCCACUAGUAAUUACCAGUUGGAGGGCCAUUCAACUGGAUUUUUCCCAGUCAUAUGAGGUCUGCUGCACCAUCGCUGUGGACAUGACAGGGGAUUAGACAGAUGAACAACAGGCACCAGAUGCCCAAGCCUCGAAACCAGAAACAUGUGGAGACAUCGUCACUUAUCAUUUUGAGUAAAUGCCUCUUCCAUCAUCCCUGGUCAGUGGAGUCAUAAGUAGCCCUCCCCUCACGCCAAGAGAUUGAUGGUGACCUUAGCUAUGGUUUAUCGAGCGUCCACCUUCUCUUCGCUCUUGACAAACCACUGACAAAGUAGUUAGUCCAUCAUUGUUCUCAUGGAUCUCGAGUGGACAAAUCCUCCAGGUUAGGUCUGAGUGUAAUCAUCUUUCCUCAAAGUUGAUAAUUCCAUACUUUGAUAGACUUUUAUUGAGAUCCUCCACCUGAAGAUCUGAAGGGUCGUCACC